AUUCCUUAUACUAUGGUAUUACCCAUAGACCACCAUAAAGAAAUGAAAUGUUAUUUGUCUAUACGUUCGAGUUUUCCAAUAUGAUUUUAACCAACAAUAAAUUGGGUUGUAAUACUUGUAUGUUUUGUAUGGUAGCAAUGAAGCGAUAAAGGAGUUUUUAUUGUCGCUUAUUACAAGGUCUGUUUUAGGUUUCAGGUAAAGUCAGAUCUCCACCUACAACCUCCAAAUGAGUUGAAAAUGAAGUACCAAAGAAGACCUGUGAUAAUUAAAGUGAAUUACGAAAUGUGCACUAUAAAGUAGGACGAUAGAUUAAUCGAAUUGAAGAUUUUUUAUCUUUCAUGUAUGUGUAGAAAUUUGAAUAUUGCUUCAGAAAUGUACCAAUUCAGUUGUUCAUCAGAUAGAAUUUUAAGUAGGUAUAAAUAGGUAUUUUUUUUCAGUCAUUUAUAGUGUAAAUCUCCCAAUAUAAUGAAUAUUAUGUAUUGAUUUUUGUAAAUAAUUACUAUUUUUUGGA